CAAUCUACCUUGGAGUGGGGAAUAACGGCUGGAACCAGCCGCUAAUACCGCAUGAUGCGUCUGGGCCGCAUGGCUCUGGGCGCCAAAGAUUCAUCGCUCUGAGAUGAGCUCGCGUCUGAUUAGCUAGUUGGCGGGGCAACGGCCCACCAAGGCGACGAUCAGUAGCCGGACUGAGAGGUUGGCCGGCCACAUUGGGACUGAGACACGGCCCAGACUCCUACGGAAGGCAGCAG
rnacentral:rRNA from 1 species